rnacentral:rRNA from 1 species
CACGUAGGCACCAAGCGUUGUCCGGAUUUAUUGGGCGUAAAGCGCGUGUAGGCGGCCAGGUAGGUCCGCUGUGAAAACUCGAGGCUCAACCUCGAGACGUCGGCGGAAACCAUCUGGCUAGAGUCCGGAAGAGGGGAGUGGAAUUCCUGGUGUAGCGGUGAAAUGCGCAGAUAUCAGGAAGAACACCCGUGGCGAAGGCGGCGCUCUGGGACGGUACUGACGCUGAGACGCGAAAGCGUGGGGAGCGAACAGG